rnacentral:rRNA from 1 species
UACGGGGGGGGUAAGCGUUGGUCGGAAUUACUGGGCGUAAAGGGCUCGUAGGCGGCCAACUAAGUCAGACGUGAAAUCCCUCAGCUUAACUGGGGAACUGCGUCUGAUACUGGAUGGCUUGGAUUCGGGAGAGGAAUGCGGAAUUCCAGGUGUAGCGGUGAAAUGCGUAGAUAUCAGGAAGAACACCCGUGGCGAAAGCGGCUCUCUGGGACGGUACUGACGCUGAGACGCGAAAGCGUGGGGAGCGAACAGG